UUCUACUAGUCAUUAUAAUCAACGAUGAUAGAUUCAGAAAAUCCAAAAGAGCGUGUUCCUCCCUGCUAGCCAUCACAGCGAUGUCGACAUUGAAUUUCGGUCUACAGGUACACACAAUAUUGAUGGACAUAGUAAGGAUGUAUGCCGAUGGUGGUAUCGCCUAUAAUACUAUAAAAAUAUCUAUUACCGUGGACGUCCAAUGAGGAUUGGCGGAUUCUACGGUAAGCCUAAGGACCUUGGAAUAUUGUGCAAAAAACGAUCGUGAUAAAAAUUAAAAUUACAUGUAUAAAUGUUACAAUUAUUUUAUCGUGUACAGAAGCUGAUCAUACAUCCAAGGCUUGCCGGGAGAAAGUUCUAGAAGAUUCCGUGGAAUUCUAUGGACUGCUAUCGAAUACUUAAACACAUCAAACGGUCAUACUUACACACCACCUACACCCUUUCCAACCAAACUCUCUUAUUAUCGAUUGGGCACGUUAAGUUACACGGGUGUAUACCGAGAAACGGGGAUUAUUUUUAAUAAUUAUUGUAUUAGCAUAUUAUAUUGAUUAUUAUUAUUUACAGAACCAAUGAGCGGAGACUGUUAUCACAUGACAUCCUCUCAAACCGUUUAGUAAUAUUUUUGU